GACGAACGCUGGCGGCGUGCUUAACACAUGCAAGUCGAACGGAAAGGCCCUGCUUUUGUGGGGUGCUCGAGUGGCGAACGGGUGAGUAACACGUGAGUAACCUGCCCUUGACUUUGGGAUAACUUCAGGAAACUGGGGCUAAUACCGGAUAGGAGCUCCUGCUGCAUGGGGGGGGUUGGAAAGUUUCGGCGGUUGGGGAUGGACUCGCGGCUUAUCAGCUUGUUGGUGGGGUAGUGGCUUACCAAGGCUUUGACGGGUAGCCGGCCUGGGAGGGUGACCGGCCACAUUGGGCCUGGGAUGCGGCCCAGACUCCUACGGGCGGCAGGAGUGGGGAAUAUGGCACACUGGGCGGAAGCCUGAUGCAGCAACGCCGCGUGCGGGAUGACGGCCUUCGGGUUGUAAACCGCUUUCGCCUGUGACGAAGCGUGAGUGACGGUAAUGGGUAAAGAAGCACCGGCUAACUACGU
rnacentral:rRNA from 1 species